AAACAUUCCCAAUAAACAGCUCCAUCCCUGGCUUCUAAGUUGGCUGACAUCUGAAAUGUGAUGAAGGCCUACAUCUAGGGGCUAGUUCCUCCUCCAUCAUGGCAAAGGGUCUUGAGGGGCCUCUGGAAGGACCAUUCCCAAUGAACUGCCUCUAUGAUGUCAGCAAGUGAUGGAGCAAUAAUGUAAAAAGCCAUGAGCAUUUGCACUUUGAGGAAAAUCAUUCAGGGAAGGAUGAGAGGAUGGAGCCCCGCGCAGAGGCUGGAUGUUAUCCAGUAGAGGAAGGAAGAUUGAAGCCACAUCAGCAGAACAACAGAGGAGUGAGGAUGAGACUGAGCACCGCAGUCAUUCUACUAUCAACACGUUCUUCCCUUGGAACGAAAAUCCCUUCUAUGUGCAUGACUGUAUUUUUAAACAUCACUCCUGUCUCCCCUCUCAGUAGCCAUGGAAAAUAAAUUUGUAAGCCAUGA